CCUACGGGCGGCAGCAGUGAGGCAUAUUGGUCAAUGUACGAGAGUCUGAACCCGCCAAGUAUCGUGAAGGAUGACUGCCCUAUGGGUUGUAAACUUCUUUUAUUUGGGAAUAAAACAGGGUAUGCAUACCCUCUUGUAUGUACCAUAUGAAUAAGGAUCGGCUAACUCCGUGCCAGCAGCCGCGGUAAUACGGAGGAUCCGAGCGUUAUCCGGAUUUAUUGGGUUUAAAGGGAGCGUAGGUGGAUUGUUAAGUCAGUUGUGAAAGUUUGCGGCUCAACCGUAAAAUUGCAGUUGAAACUGGCAGUCUUGAGUACAGUAGAGGUGGGCGGAAUUCGUGGUGUAGAGGUGAAAUGCUUAGAUAUCACGAAGAACUCCGAUUGCGAAGGCAGCUCACUGGACUGCAACUGACACUGAUGCUCGAAAGUGUGGGUAGCAAACAGGAUUAGAGACCCGAGUAGUC
rnacentral:rRNA from 1 species